CAGCAGUAGCCACGGUAAUACGUAGGUGGCAAGCGUUGUCCGGAAUUAUUGGGCGUAAAGGGCUCGCAGGCGGUUUCUUAAGUCUGAUGUGAAAGCCCCCGGCUCAACCGGGGAGGGUCAUUGGAAACUGGGAAACUUGAGUGCAGAAGAGGAGAGUGGAAUUCCGCGUGUAGCGGUGAAAUGCGUAGAGAUGUGGAGGAACACCAGUGGCGAAGGCGACUCUCUGGUCUGUAUCUGACGCUGAGGAGCGAAAGCGUGGGGAGCGAACAGGAUUAGAGACCCCUGUAGUCCCUGUCUCUUAUAA
rnacentral:rRNA from 1 species